CACUUCGGCAAGGACGUAGAGCAAACAGUUGGCUUCAGCUGCUCCUGAGUCUCCAGUGCUCUUACAAAGCACUCCUGGGUCCUCUGGAAUCCUGGUGGACAGCAAGGCACUUUCCCUGUAGAAGACCAGACCUUGGCUGACUUCUCCCUGC